UUCAAUUACGUAUAGCGUAUAUUUUGUAAACGAUUAUUGAAAUCGCGACCGACAGAAGGCGCCACAUUUAACAAACCAAACAAGCGUCGACUAAGAAUGGCGAUAGUGGCUUUGUGUUUGUAAUUUUUAAAGACGAAUGCUCGAUGACAACUCUAAGCAGAUUAACAAUAAGUAAAUAUUAAAUAACGUCGAACAUUAAAUGUCAUUCUGAAUAUCAUUAAGUAUAUACGCAGUCGACUGCUAAACAUGU